rnacentral:misc_RNA from 1 species
GAUGAAGAACGUAGCGAAAUGCGAUAAGUAAUGUGAAUUGCAGAAUUCAGUGAAUCAUCGAAUCUUUGAACGCACAUUGCGCCCGCCAGUAUUCUGGCGGGCAUGCCUGUUAGAGCGUCAUUACAACCCUCAGGCCCCCGGGCCUGGCGUUGGGGAUCGGCGAGGCGCCCCCCGCGGGCACGCGCCGUCCCCCAAAUACAGUGGCGGUCCCGCCGCAGCUUCCAUUGCGUAGUAGCUAACACCUCGCAACUGGAGAGCGGCGCGGCCAUGCCGUAAAACACCCAACUUCUGAAUGUUGACCUCGAAUCAGGUAGGAAUACCCGCUGAACUUAAGCAUAUCAAUAAGCGGAGGA